AUUACCACUGAAGCAUUUUGUAUUGCUUUCUCACAAAUCAUUGCUUAUGAAAAUGAAGUUUUCUAUCAUCAGUACUAGUACUACAUAACUUCUGGUAAAAAAUGUGCCCACCCACUGAGCCGCAUCAUCUUCUCACAGUGACAACGGCAGGGCAAGAUAGCUUCAGUUGAGUAACUCACAUUACUACCAAUCAGUUGGUCCUCCCCUCUGCCCAAGUCACAGCUUCCAUCACUGUUGUCAGUGUCACCUGCUAAUGGCUGCUGAUGUUUCACCUGUCUGCCUGUGCUCUGAAAAUAAUAUUUGCCAAGAGUUGGCCAGACACUAAAGUGGACGGAAUCAAGCAAGUCUUCCAUCUGCUGCCUGCAUGUGCUGUCUGUAUUCACUCUGUGUAUUACCUGAGCAGACAAAAAGACUUACUUCCAGACAUCAGUUCCACCAGGUCUACAUUUUUUAAGAUGAAUAAAACAUCUGCUUGUCUCCUGGGUAGCACCUGGGGACGUCUCCCUGAUAAGAUGGUCUCUCAAAUUCACCAAGGGUUUCUCACUGCUAAUGACUGCUGCCAAGAUAUAUAAAUGGAAUGGUUCAGCUAAGAGAAGAAUAUGAGGUUGCCAUUUGGAGGCACUUUGGUACGAUGGGGAAAACACCCAACUGAGAAUCAGACUACAUAGAUGCCAUUCCAUCUGCCACUAAUUAGGUACACAGGCUUCAGCUUAUCACAAACUCAGAGUCCAAAGAAAGUGAUGUAUUUUAUGUUUGAAAGUAAAGCAAGUUUGGGUGGGUCAUUUUGCCAUUGGCGCAUGGAUACAGCUGGAUGUCAAUAUGAAGAGGAAGUGAAAAGUUACUCGUAAAUUCGAGGCCUAAAAGUUUGGGGGAAGGCUGCUGUUUCCAGAGUCCAGGAGAAGAAGUCUUUCUGCUUGCAUAUGGUUUUAUUAACAAUCCCAGGUC